AUUGAACGCUGGCGGCAGGCCUAACACAUGCAAGUCGAGCGGGGUUUUCGGACCUAGCGGCGGACGGGUGAGUAAUGCGUAGGAAGCUGCCCGAUAGAGGGGGAUACCAGUUGGAAACGACUGUUAAUACCGCAUAAUGUCUACGGACCAAAGUGUGGGACCUUCGGGCCACAUGCUAUCGGAUGCGCCUACGUGGGAUAGCUAGUUGGUGAGGUAAUGGCUCACCAAGGCGACGAUCUCUAGCUGGUUUGAGAGGAUGAUCAGCCACACUGGAACUGAGACACGGUCCAGACUCCUACGGGAGGCAGCAGUGGGGAAUAUUGGGCAAUGGGCGCAAGCCUGAUCCAGCCAUGCCGCGUGUGUGAAGAAGGCCUUCGGGUUGUAAAGCACUUUCAGCGAGGAGGAAGGGGUGUGUGUUAAUAGUACACAUCUUUGACGUUACUCGCAGAAGAAGCACCGGCUAACUCUGUGCCAGCCGCCGCCGUAAGAC
rnacentral:rRNA from 1 species